GGGCACUUGGCACAGUGGUAGCGCGCAUGCUUUGCAUUAAUGUCGCAGGUUGCAUGAGGUCGAGGGUUCAAACCCCUCAGUGUCCA